AGUGAACGCUGGCGGUAGGCCUAACACAUGCAAGUCGAACGGCAGCACAGUAAGAGCUUGCUCUUACGGGUGGCGAGUGGCGGGCGGGUGAGGAAUACAUCGGAAUCUACUUUUUCGUGGGGGAUAACGUAGGGAAACUUACGCUAAUACCGCAUACGACCUACGGGUGAAAGCAGGGGAUCUUCGGACCUUGCGCGAUUGAAUGAGCCGAUGUCGGAUUAGCUAGUUGGCGGGGUAAAGGCCCACCAAGGCGACGAUCCGUAGCUGGUCUGAGAGGAUGAUCAGCCACACUGGAACUGAGACACGGUCCAGACUCCUACGGGAGGCAGCAGUGGGGAAUAUUGGACAAUGGGCGCAAGCCUGAUCCAGCCAUACCGCGUGGGUGAAGAAGGCCUUCGGGUUGUAAAGCCCUUUUGUUGGGAAAGAAAAGCAGCAGGUUAAUACCCCGCUGUUCUGGCGGUACCCAAAGAAUAAGCACCGGCUAACUUCGUG
rnacentral:rRNA from 1 species